rnacentral:sRNA from 1 species
AGAUAUGAGCGGGAAUUCUCCUUGACUCCUGUCACGCCAGUGCUCUCCAUGGUGUAAUGGGCUGAACAGGCUGGCCAUGCUGGUGUCACCUUCCUCAAAGUUUCAUUCCCAUCGUACUAAAAGAGGAAAGCAUUUCCAAAGACAGGAGGUCUGUUCUUCUGUCGAGAGUAUUGAGUAGCUAGAAAUUCCAGGUUCUUGGGAUCCAUUUGGAGAACUCAACAGAGUCAAGCCCAACAGCAACAAUAACAGGAAAGGACAUACACAGUUGUAUGUGACCUGAUGA